CCCUGCUGUAUCAAAGAUUCAGUGGGCACACUCCUAGCACUGUUCUUCAUGUCCCAAAAGAGGACAUGCCAAAUUGUCAUUGUGCAUCAUGAACUGAUUUCCAAAGACCUCCUUUUCCUGAGGCAGGAGCCUUGUUC
rnacentral:lncRNA from 12 species